UGAUCACGGGCUGACGGCAUCACGGCAUUUUGUUUAUGUUUAAAAAGUUAUUAGGUGCACUAAGUUUACUGAUUUUAUCCUACAUAGCUUCUUAAGCAGCAAACAAGAAAUGACGAAGAAGAGAUGGGCCAACAUUGAACAAAGCAAAAUAGAGAAAUCAGUUGCUUCAUGGCUGGCACAGACACAAUUAAAAUCAAAGACUUAGAAAGGGGCAGGGUGUCAAAGAGCACAUGAAGAACAGGAAGAUGAGGAUCAUGAAGCCGCCGACGCUUGAAUGAUGUGUAAAUAAUGUAUUGUCAGGGUGUCUACGAACCGGGAAAUCCGGGAAUGAACUUAUUUUUUUACUGAAAUGUACUGUUUUUAGUAAAUAUGGGUAGUUUUUAGUGGUAAUUGUCCUUAAAUAGUUGUGUGGGCCAUUUUAAGUAUGACAUAAAAAUUUGUUAGAAGAACAUAAAAGGUUUUUUAUCAAAUGUUUGCUUACAUUUUCAUCAUUUAUUACUAUAGAGUAAUUAUGCAAUAGAAACCACAUUAGCAGUCUCAAAGCCAUAAAUAUUUUAUCUCGACAAUCACAUCAAGUCAAGUACUUCAAAAAACUUAUGACCCAGUAGCAAAGCUCAUAAAAGUUGUAUCACUGUCAUUCCUUGGCAACUAAUUUAUUUAUUACUAGGGUUAUUAUCAUUAGAUCCCAAACCUAUUUGAUCAUGGAAAUAAUAGUUUUAUAUUAGCUGUUAAAUUUAACUUCUUACUUGUACUUUCAUCUUGAAGAUUCAAUUUGCCGUUGGCCGUUGCCUACUCCUUUAAAAACUGUUUACGGUUUCAUAUUAAACUUCGAAUUAAUAUACAGUGUUAUUUUAUAAGUUAAAUCCUUUUUUAUGGACAUUUUAUCUUUCAAUUGACAAAACCACGAGCAUUGUUGUUUGCAUUAAUUUUUUAUCAUCACACAGGCCUACUUGGUCUCAAAAAAUCAUGUCCUUGCAUUUCAUGUAUCUUUGUCUUAUAUUGUUGGC